GCUCUGGUGGCCUAGAGGUUAGAGCGUCCGCCUCGGAUGCGGUAGAUCGUGGGUUCGAUCCUCAGACGAGUCAAAACA